AUCAUAGUUAAUGCCCUACCUAAAAACUCUAAACAUUCACUUAAUGGGGAUUAAGAGCCUGUUUUAAAAAAAGGAAUGAAGCCUUGAAUGAAUAAACGAGAAAAGAAAAAAAGGAAAAAAAGAGGACGCAAAACAGUAUCUCAAACGUCCUUCCCUCUCAUUCUCCUUCCCAAUCUCUCACGAUCGUCUCUCCAUCGCUCUCUCUCGUUAAAACUCUCUCACUCAAAAGCUCACACUAGCCUAAUCUUUCUUCUCUCCGUCUCGCUUUCCCCAUCCUCGCCCUCUUGCUCUCUAACAAAUACUCCAGAAAGAUUCAAGCCAAAAGAAACUCACCUUCGGUGGCGGCGACGGUGAUGAUGGAGCCUAAGCUUCACUAUUUCGCCUCUCUCUUCCAGGCUGAUUAGGGUUUCGGUUGGUGUAGAAAGGCUCAGAGGAGAAAGCUUUCAGAAGUGCUUUUCAUGCUCAGAAGCGAGUUUGUCCUCUUUGAUCAUUGGACCCGGAAAGGUUGGGAUUGGCUUUGAUUCCUUAUCUGAACUGUUUGCCUUUUGAUCAUGAACUGAAUCUGUGUUUUCUUCUGCUUCUGUUUGAUCCAUGGAAUAGAUAGGUACAACACCAGAAGGAUUUCUCAAUGAAGACUGAAGAGUUUCCAAAUAUCUAGUGUCGCAGGAACGCUUUGAUUGACCAACUGAAAACUGUUGAACCCUUCUGAUUUCGUUAUUAUCGUGGUUAGCAGCAACUCUAUAGGAAGCAUGUGCCCCUGGUUGUAGCUGGUGUGCAUUCGAAAGCUUGUUGUCGGUUUUUAGCUUGGUCAAUUGCUGUUAAGUUAGUGUGACAUGGUAAAGCAGGUUAAAGUUAAUGCAGGUUUUGGCUUUUCCGCUUUGUUCGCUGUCAUUUGCAGUCGGCAUCUGCGGCUUCUCUUAGUAUCUUUUGCCUCAAUGAAGUUACUACCAUUUAUUGAUUCUGAUUGCACAACAACAUCAUUCCAAGAUAAUAUGCUAUCUGGAGCUUCCGCAUCUAUUUCCUUGGUUAUGCCGAUGAUGUCUUUGGAUUGUACCAACUGCGCUUGGCAUUGCCUUCAUGGCUUGACUUGCAGCUGGAUUGUAUCUGCGGUGUCGCUGUUCGGCCUUGGCAGCUUGGAAUUGUAGCGCACAGCUGGGAGUUUUGGAAGUGUUGAUGCCGUUUUUGGAUUGUUAGCUUAAGUUUGCAGCUUGAAGUAUUGGCUCACGCGGAUGUCGCCGUUGUGGAGUUCUUUAUUGGCUUAGCUGGGAAUGCAGCUCACGUGCUACCUUGGGUGUGUUUUCGUGCCAUUUCUGUUUGCAGCGUUGCAGGCCUUUGGAGGUGUCUUACUGCUAUGCUGUUUUCUGUUUCAAUUUGCAUUGCAGUUUGUUGUUUGGGGCUUUUGUAAAUGAAACCGGGACUGCUGUGAUAUUGCAGGUUGGAUAGAAUUGACCGCACCGCCGAAGGCUGCAUAGCAGAUGACGCUUGCAUGACUGAUUUGAGAGGUAUUCGACGGGUUUGGUUGCAGAAGGCUCCGCUGUUGUUGUUGCGGGACUCGGAUAGACUUUUUCAUUUGAAUUGCUCAUGAUGUAUGCCAUGAAGUUUGAUGUAUGUAGCAUAAAAUGUAUAUGAAUAACCAAUGAGGCAUAAUGUAAUGCUUAUGUAAAAUGCUUGUUUUAAUAUGUAAAAUGUGCUUAUGAUAUGUAAAUAUUAAUGGAAUGAAGUGUAUGAGAAUGUAGCAUUA